UACGAUAUGGUCUAGUGGCUAGAAUACCUGGCUUUCACCCAGAAUGCUCGGGUUUCGAUUCCCGGUAUCGGAA